UAGGGAAUAUUGGACAAUGGGUGAGAGCCUGAUCCAGCCAUGCCGCGUGCAGGAUGAAGUAUUUCGGUAUGUAAACUUCGAAAGAAUAGGAAGAAUAAAUGACGGUACUAUUUAUAAGGUCCGGCUAACUACGUGCCAGCAGCCGCGGUAAUACGUAGGGACCAAGCGUUGUUCGGAUUUACUGGGCGUAAAGGGCGCGUAGGCGGCAAUUCAAGUCAUCUGUGAAAUCUCCGGGCUUAACUCGGAACGGUCAGAUGAUACUGCUUUGCUAGAGUGCAGAAGGGGCAAUCGGAAUUCUUGGUGUAGCGGUGAAAUGCGUAGAUAUCAAGAGGAACACCUGAGGUGAAGACGGGUUGCUGGGCUGACACUGACGCUGAGGCGCGAAAGCCGGGGGAGCAAACGGGGAUUAGAUACCCAAGUAGUCCCUGAGCGGGCUGGCAAGGCGCAU
rnacentral:rRNA from 1 species